AGUGCAAUGGCUGGAUCAUAUGGUAAGACUACAUUUAGUUUUAUAAGAAACUGCCAAACUGUCUUCUGAAGAGCUGUACCAUUUUGAAUUUCCUCCAGCAAU
rnacentral:pre_miRNA from 1 species